CCCUAGCCCAGAUGGAAACGGCAUCCCCCGCUUUUGAGCGGGGAUAUAGUGGACAGCUGGAAAUAGC
rnacentral:sRNA from 1 species